CACGUAGGCACCAAGCGUUAUCCGGAUUUAUUGGGCGUAAAGAGCUCGUAGGCGGUUCGGUAAGUCGGGUGUGAAAACUCUGGGCUCAACCCAGAGAGGCCACCCGAUACUGCUGUGACUAGAGUGCGGUAGGGGAGCGGGGAAUUCCUGGUGUAGCGGUGAAAUGCGCAGAUAUCAGGAGGAACACCAGCGGCGAAGGCGCCGCUCUGGGCCGUAACUGACGCUGAGGGAGCGAAAGCAUGGGUAGCAAAACAGG
rnacentral:rRNA from 1 species